CCGGGCCGUCGCCGGAGAACGGCUGGCCAGCGUCGUGGGGCGCGCUCCUCGGAAAAGUAGAGGAAGCGCACAGGUGGCUGAGCAUACAAACUGAAGAAAAAAUUGAAAUGCCAUUUUAAAAACUUGAAAGGUUCCAGGACUACCUCAAAUGUAUUACGUCUCUAAUCAGUCUUUCUCCUUAAAAAUGCCUAUUAUUUCUUGGUGGACUGCAAAGAUUUCUGUUUUAUAUCUGCGCAUCUUGGGAAACAUUUUAUUUUCCUCAUAGAUUUAUUUGGCAUUUUUAUCUUUAUAUGAUUGAGUCAAAUCUCAAUACAAAGAACACCCCUUUCAUGCUUAUUUAUUACAACAUGAGCAUGCAGCCUCCAACCCCUGAUUCCUAGGUACAGAAAAAUAAAGUUCAAGCUUUUUCAUGCUUUUGCAUAUCUGCAUAAUAGUUUUUGUGUCCAAAUUAUGAAACACCUUAAAUAUAAAUUGCUGUAGCCUCCCCAGGGUUCAUCAUAAUCACCGUCACCACUAGCAGCAUUUAUUGCAUCUGCUGGGGUCACUGCACUGGGGAAGAAGGCCUCAUUUUCUCAGUUCGCCUAAUAUUCCAGGUUCUUUCUGUUUAUCUAUAAUUGUAAGAAGAGUUGCCCUUCUGAUACAUGUUGACAUAUCACUGUUCUGCUAAACAGUGUAGUCUGGCUACUAGGGGAGGAGUUACACCCACCCUCUUCUGCUGCCAGCUCUGUGACAAAGAGAAAGCUGUAAGUUAUUCUCCAGCCUGCUGAAGAGUUUUGUGUAGUCCCCAGCAGCCUAUCACUUUCAGCAGAAUUCCCUCUUUAGAAGUAAAUGUGUCAAACUGCAUAUUUUGUUAUGGGUAUUUUAUGCCUAAACCCUUCCUCCCUUAUUGUCAUUUUAUAGAUGCUGGGUUUUGGUCCACAGAUUACAAUACCAGUGUCCUAACUAAUGUCAGAGUUCUAGCCAGUGAAAAAUUAGAAAUGAGAGUCAUCUCUUCCCAUCAUGUCUGGGGUUACCACAUCUAACCUGGUUCUCUUGCCAAAGAACUUGCUCUCCAGGAUGGAUGACUCUGGAUAAACAUGAGUUACCUGCUAAGGAAUGGCCUUAUAAUCAGAUGAUAGUCUGGUUUCAAGCUCAUCAAAUUAUCUUUUAAUUUAUUUUCCAUUUGAAAUCAAAUAGUUAUUCCCUCUUAUUUACAUUCUCAUCUAGGCCUAAAAUACUGUUUAUCACAAGACAGUUGUUAUUAAAACCACAAAACAUUAAGUUUAAAGGUAAACCUAUCAUGAAAGAGAUAUUGUUCCCAAGGAAGCUUAAACCAAUUUAUUAUUAAAUUUACAAAUAAUGGGUUGCCACUUCCAAAGUGAAGAUGUAGAUCAGGUGGAAAUAACACGAAAGGAGGGUCCUUUAUUAGAUACUUCAUCUGAAGUUUUGUCCUUAACUUUGUUGAGGCAUCGGGUGGGGAGGGUUACAUUAAUAGAAAGCAAUAGAUAAAGAAGUUGGGCACUGGAAUGAGAAAUGAGACUGCCUUAAGUUCGAGGCCUUCUUAUUUGAUUUGGGGAAAGUUACUUAACCUCCUUGGGCCUCAAUCUUGUCAUCUAUAAAAAGGGAGUAAUAAUGAUUUGUUGUGGUGUUCAAAUAAUACACUUAAUGCUUGUCACAUUGUAAGUGCUCAAUAAAUAUUAGCCAUCAUCACCUUCAUCAGCAGCAGCAGCACCUUCAUCAUCAUCAUCAUCACCAUUAUGUCUUACAGCAUAUGGUUACAUUUAUCAUCAUAGGUACCAUAUGCUAGAUAGAAGGGUAGAUUAAAAACAAGUUGUUACAUGAGCACAGGGAGGGGAACAACACACACUGGAGCCUGUCGGGGGUUGGGGGAUGGGUAGGGGGAGCAUCAGGAUAAAUAGCUAAUGCCUGCUGGCCUUAAUACCUAGGCGAUGGGUUGAUAGGUGCAGCAAACCACCAUGGCACACAUUUAGCUAUGUAACAAACCUGCAUGUCCUGCACAUGUAUCCCAGAACUUAAAACAAAAUCUAACAAACAAACAAACAAAACAUAAGUUGUUGCUUUAGUCAGCUUAUUCCUCCAGAUUGAGGGGGAAAAAACACUGAGGGCUAAAAUAUAGGGUAUAAAGAGUACGUUAAGUGAUUUAAUAAAUUCCUGGCCUACCUCACCUGAAAGCAUUAACAGAGUUUUGCACUUAACGGAAAUAAAUUGGGCGACAACUAGUUUUGAACAUUUUCUUCUUAAAUGCUGGAAUAUACUGUGGUUAGAUAUUUUGCUUUUAACUGUUAGUAUCUAUUCUGAACCUUUACAACCUACACAGUAGGAAAGGGAUUUUAAAAGGACAAACAGUAACUCAUAUAAAGAUUUCAUGGAUAAGAACUAAGCAAUUGAAUGCAUAAUUUAUAGUUUGGAGUACCAUAUUACUUUGUGGCACAUUUAAAAUUGUUACUCUGAUUGAUUAUUUUGAAAAUUCCAGGCACCAUUAGAUUUCAUCCCUCUGCACAGUAUUUCUCUAAAUACCAUCUCUGAAUCCACAAAUAUUUAUCUUUUUUUGGUUAGCAUCCAGCUGGUAACCAGUAAAAUGAUCCUACAUUAUUCUAGGACAGGAGCCAGGAACUUGGUCUUAUUGCAUAAAGCUACUCUAUUCCUCUUUGUGUGAAAUAUAUUCCACUACUGGUCCCUAGAUACUUAUUUAAGAGAGCACUUAAAAUCGCUCCCUUUGGAGUUGCC
rnacentral:lncRNA from 1 species